AACGAACGCUGGCGGCAUGCCUAACACAUGCAAGUCGAACGAGACCUUCGGGUCUAGUGGCGCACGUGUGCGUAACGCGUGGGAACCUGCCCUUAGGUUCGUAAUAACUCCCCGAAAGGGGUGCUAAUACCGCAUAAUGUCUUCGGACCAAAGAUUUAUCGCCUUUGGAUGGGCCCGCGUUGGAUUCGCUAGUUGGUAGGGUAAAAGCCUACCAAGGCGACGAUCCAUAGCUGGUCUGAGAGGAUGAUCAGCCACACUGGGACUGAGACACGGCCCAGACUCCUACGGGAGGCAGCAGUGGGGAAUAUUGGACAAUGGGCGAAAGCCUGAUCCAGCAAUGCCGCGUGAGUGAUGAAGGCCUUAGGGUUGUAAAGCUCUUUUACCCGGGAUGAUAAUGACAGUACCGGGAGAAUAAGCACCGGCUAACUCCGUG
rnacentral:rRNA from 1 species